rnacentral:rRNA from 1 species
GCUACUAGGGGACAGGAGCCGGUGUAAUACGUGGGUGGCCAGGGUUGGUCGGAAUGAUUGGGCGUGAAGGGCGCGUAUGCGGUGUGUCGCGUCGGGAGUGAAAACCAGGUGCGUAACACCUGGCUUGCGGUCGAUGCGGGCAGACUGGAGGGAUGCAGGGGAGAACGGAAUUCCUGGUGGAGCGGUGAAAUGCGCAGAUAUCAGGAGGAACACCGGUGGCGAAGGCGGUUCUCUGGGCAUUACCUGACGCUGAGGAGCGAAAGUUUGGGGAGCGAACAGGAUUAGAUACCCGAGUAGUCC